UUUCCUGGCUUGCUAAGGAAAAAUGCUGCCGAGUAUCAGCAAACGUUUACUAUCCUGACUGCUGUCACUUCAUGAUGUGUUCUGAAAGAAGGCCAGAGAACAAACCAAUUACAAUUCAGAGGCAACAGUCUAUCCAAAAGUCAGGAAACUUCCACCAGUCGUGACACGGUCAUCGAGGUAUCAGUGUAACAUCAAGACAGUUUUGUAAUCAAGUGUUAACCAAGAUGGCACCAGUUACAUCAGUGGAGGCGAGAUGGCACCAAAGAAUGGCGACUUUCAUUCAAGGGGAGGGGAUUCGUGUCUGCCACCGGGCCAAUCUUCCGUGACAGAUCACUUAACAAGGACUAUAAAGCUGGACACUUUACUUAUCAAUUUUUCUGCUUUUUUUAAUGUUUUGGUUUAUUUCUCUGUGUUUUAAGCUGACGGCAGAGAAUGACAACACUAUAUAACACCUUUCACUGUAUUUUGUAACAAGAUACAUGUGAUAGUAAAUAAAUAAAUAAAAUCUCUGAAAUUGCUUCUGCUCUUCAUCAUUCUUGUGCCAUUCAGUAUCAUGGCUUCAUGUGUACGACUCUGACCUUGUGCCCCAUGUGUAGUUGAGAUAUUUUCAUAUCUGCCCGCUGGUCACACACGACUUUCAUCCUUCCUUAUUUUCUAGGAAUUACAUCUUGGAUCUCAGAAAAUUUGAAUAGAUGGUGGCCUGGAAAUAUUGGUCUUGAUUGGCUUCUGAACAUGAUCUAUGCUUGA